UGCAUGUUCCAGCAUCUACUGUUUUCCAAACAUCAUGCUGGACUUCGCAGAAAAUACUCAGCGGUGGUGUUGGAUGUGAACCCGGUCCUAAGAAGCAGAUCUUCGCUUCUGGCAGAAAGAAAGAAACCCAUUCGAAAGGGGGCUAAGAAGCUGGAUAAUUGGCAAUAUCAACAAAUCCAAAAGUAAUUUCCAGCUGGCUUUGGAACGCAGCUGCUCUGACUUGCUAAUUACCUUGCUUCCCCUGGACGCACAUUGCCAAGGCCAGCAGGGAAGCUGCCGUGGACAGUAGGAAGAAUCCCGUUCUGUGGUAGAGAGGAAGAAGAGUCUGGAAGACCAAGCAAGCACAGCCAGAGCCCAACAUGGGACUCCAUUCCAUGACCGUGAGAUCAC